rnacentral:rRNA from 1 species
UACGUAGGGUGCAAGCGUUGUCCGGAAUUAUUGGGCGUAAAGAGCUUGCAGGCGGUUUGUCGCGUCUGCUGUGAAAUUUCGGGGCUCAACCCCGAACUUGCAGUGGGUACGGGCAGACUAGAGUGUGGUAGGGGAGACUGGAAUUCCUGGUGUAGCGGUGAAAUGCGCAGAUAUCAGGAGGAACACCGAUGGCGAAGGCAGGUCUCUGGGCCACUACUGACGCUGAGAAGCGAAAGCAUGGGGAGCGAACAGG